rnacentral:pre_miRNA from 1 species
CAGCCGUCCUGCACAGAAUUUUUUUUCCCAACGUUUAACUCUUCGUCUUAUUAAAAAAAUUACGAUUAAUAAUUUUAUUUUUAUUAGAUGAUAAAACAUGAAUAAUAUUUUAUGUGGACAUUUUUUUAAAAAAAAUUCUUGAAUUUUUUUCAAAUAAGACGGAUGGUCAAAUGCUCGACACAAAAAAUCA